GUAGACUUCUCUAUGAUAUGCAAGAUGCACCUUCAUUUAAUAUUGAAGUAUUUACUGAAGAUGCAACCAUGAAAGCAAAAGUGAAGCGAGUGUGCAUUAACUAUAGUGUUGAGUCUGUUGAGGUGCGUAUUAACUAAAGUGUUGAGUUUGUUGAGGAAGUCGAGAGGGCCCUAAAACAAGAGUAGUGAAUGACUGACUUAGCCAGGUAGAGGUCUAUUGCUGAUGAGCUAGUGAGACGGGAUAGGGACCGGUAGUGAGUUGUAGAAGGAUUGAGUUCGGUACAAGUUUCCAUAGAUGCUACCCCAGUUGAGUUUGAGAUACCGGUCAAUACUAUAAGUUCCACACUUGUGGACUGAUCUACUAUAAAUACGAACACAGGCACCUAGACAUCAUAGUUGUUUUACAGGAAAAUAGGAUUUGGAGUCUAAGUAUUAAAUGAAAGAGGUAGCAGGAAAAUUUGUCUAUCUACAAGACACUCUACGGAUAGAGGUUUAAUCUAUGAGCCAUAGAUAGCAGUCGUAGUAGAGAUUCAGAAACUUAAAGAAAAAUCCUGAGUUUGAGGAGUGAGAUAUAUAACCCGUAAAGGUUUGUACGACCCAUAGAAUGGGUUCAUGGUGGAAGUUCAGAAAAGGGUCAAAAUGCAUGAUUUGUAUGAUGAGUAGUAUGAGUUGUAAAAGAUAGUACGAUGCAUAAAAAGCUCUCAUAUUUGAUAUUCAGAAAGUUUGGAAAAGAGCUUGAGUUCUAUGAGAGCAUAUUACGAGCUGUAAAAUAUUUCAUGGAUCGUAGUUUUUUCCAUGGGAAAAUUUAUGAGACUAUGCACAACAUGCAGUCUACAAAAGGUGUCUACGGGCCGCACCAAGGAUUAUAACCCAUAUUAGGGCCCGUAAAAGCUACCAAAUCCAAUUUUUCUAGUUAUUUUGGAUUGGUUUUCUAUAUCUAUAAAUAAUUUUCCUACGUUUUAUUUUAUUUUUUUAUGCAUCAUUUUAGUUCUAGGAAUAGGAGAAAACAAGUACUUAGAUUUUAUUCAUGUAUUUUAGAGAUUAAUCACACAUUGAUCUUUGGUUUUUGACUUUGAAUUUCAACUCAAGAUUCUGAAUUUUCAA